CUCACCGUCAGGUCCUGCCGCAGGGAUUUCAGCUGCUCGCAGGCCCAGGCGUAGUCGCGGUGCUGCUGCCAGUGCGAGCGCACCAGGGCCAGCGCCUGCCGCAGCACCUGCGGAUUUUGGGGCGUUUUGGGGCGUUUUGGGCCUUUUCGGAGCAUUUCGGGGGUUUCAAGGAGGAUUUUGGGGGUUUUGGGGUGGAUUUUGGGGGCUUUGGGGUGGAUUUUGGGGGUUUUGGGGUGGAUUUUGGGGGAUUUUUCUGUGGAUUUUGGGGGGUUUUUAUGUGGAUUUUGGGGGGUUCCGUGGCAGAUUUUGGGGUUUUUGGGGUGAUGUUUUUGGGGUGGAUUUUGGGGUGAAUUUCGGUGGUUUUGGGGUCACUCACCGGCACGGGUCUCACAGUACUGGGAUCAGGAUUAUUUCGUCAUAUUUUUGGUGGAUUUUGGGGUAUUUUGGGACGUUUUGGACACUCACCGGCACGGGUCACAUGGUACUGGGAUCAGGGAUAUUUUGGGGGUGGAUAUCAGAGUUUUUGGGAUAUUUUGGGAUGGAUUUUGGGAUAUUUUGGGACAUUUUGGCAUGUUUUUGUCUCACUCACCAGCACGGGUCUGACGGUGCUGGGAUUGGGGUUAUUUUGGCUCGCUCACCGGCACGGGUCUGACGGUGCUGGGAUCGGGGUUAUUUUUGGGUGGAUUUUGGGAUAUUUUGGCACGUUUUGGCUCGCUCACCGGCACGGGUCUGACGGUGCUGGGAUCGGGGUUA
rnacentral:lncRNA from 1 species